CCUACGGGAGGCAGCAGUGAGGAAUAUUGGUCAAUGGCCGGAAGGCUGAACCAGCCAUGCCGCGUGAAGGUCAGUGCCCUAUGGGCGUUAAACUUCUUUUGUGCGGGAGCAAUAAUGGUCACGUGUGGCCAGACGAGAGUACCGUACGAAUAAGCAUCGGCUAACUCCGUGCCAGCAGCCGCGGUAAUACGGGGGAUGCAGGCGUUAUCCGGAUUUAUUGGGGUUAAAGGGUGCGUAGGCUGUGAGGUAAGUCAGCGGUGAAAUGCCCCCGCUCAACGGGGUGAAGUGCCAUUGAUACUGCCUUGCUGGAAUGCGGAUGCCGUGGGAGGAAUGUGUGGUGUAGCGGUGAAAUGCAUAGAUAUCACACAGAACACCGAUUGCGAAGGCAUCUCACGAAUCCGCGAUUGACGCUGAUGCACGAAAGCGUGGGUAUCAAACAGGAUUAGAUACCCGUGUAGUC
rnacentral:rRNA from 1 species